rnacentral:lncRNA from 1 species
AUCGGUUUUAAAUUGCUGCUUGGUCUUGUUGUUUCUUAAUCAAACUAUGACUAUUAAACAUUGGUAGACUACAGAGGCAGAAUUCAAGGGAGGGUCAAGGAGCUCGCAUCACCUUUUUGUGGGGGAAAUUUGGUUGAGUGUAUAGGGAAUCAAUGAAGCAUGACUGUAGCGGGCCUACUCUUAGGCAGCCAGUCCCCAAUCUCUUUAUGAAAAUCUCUGGAUAUGCCACUAGACUACUGUUGACUAUAUUUACCAUGGGUUGGCUAUUUAUGUAAAGAAGGACAAUUUGAAAUAGAUGGUAUAGAUUUGAGUAAAAAAAGGCCGGAUGAGAAUCUUGGCCAAACAAAACGGCAGGAUGACAAUUUAUGUAAAAAAAAAUCAGGAUGAAUAAGAAGCAGGACCGAAUAGAGUAAAAAUAUAAACGCAGGAUAGAGAUUUCAACAUAAAAAAUGCAGGACAAAAUUAUUCAUCCUUGCUCCUCCUCCAAAUGAAAAUCAAAUAGUAGCUCCCUUUAUUGACGGUUUCAUUGUUUUGUUUUCAUUCAACAGAUAUGAUUACACUUCUUAAUGCUUUAUUUUUUCAACACCUCC